UACGUAGGUGGCGAGCGUUGUCCGGAUUUAUUGGGCGUAAAGCGCGCGCAGGCGGUUGUCUAAGUCUGCUGUGAAAUCUCCCGGCUCAACUGGGAGGGGCGACGGAGACUGGGCGACUGGAGGGACCUAGAGGCCGGUGGAAUUCCCGGUGUAGUGGUGAAAUGCGUAGAGAUCGGGAGGAACACCUGUGGCGAAGGCGGCCGGCUGGGGGUACCCUGACGCUGAGGCGCGACAGCGUGGGGAGCGAACAGG
rnacentral:rRNA from 1 species